rnacentral:rRNA from 1 species
UACGUAGGGUGCAAGCGUUGUCCGGAAUUAUUGGGCGUAAAGAGCUCGUAGGCGGUUUGUCGCGUCUGCUGUGAAAAUCCAGGGCUUAACCCUGGACCUGCAGUGGGUACGGGCAGACUAGAGUGCGGUAGGGGAGAUCGGAAUUCCUGGUGUAGCGGUGAAAUGCGCAGAUAUCAGGAGGAACACCAGCGGCGAAGGCGGCGCUCUGGGCCGGUACUGACGCUGAGGAGCGAAAGCGUGGGGAGCAAACAGG